GGCAGAAUGGGCAAGAGACUAUAAAACAGCCAGGAGUAGGCGUAGGACUAGCAGACACUGAAGUUAAAACUCAGGUAAUGGGAGAAAUCAAGAUUGCACUGAAGAAAGAAAUGAAGACAGAUGGGGAACAACUCAUAGUUGAAAUCCUCCAGUGCAGAAAUAUCACCUACAAAUUUAAAUCUCCUGAUCACUUACCAGAUUUAUAUGUGAAAAUAUAUGUGAUGAACAUUUCUACCCAAAAAAAGGUGAUCAAGAAAAAAAC